GAGCACCAAUCGGUCGGAGGGUGGCCAUCGACGGUAUGGUUUCCCCAAGGACACAGACCGACGUAAAAGAUGGCUGGCUAUGGUCAGCAGAAAAAACUUUGAAGUAAAAGGAAAUUUGAAUAGCAGAAAAAUUUGUCAGGUACCUUUUGAGGAUAACCAGUUCACAAACACCCAAAAAGGCCACUUCAGGUUACGUCAUUCAUUCAUCGCCCAAAGCUCAGGAGGAGGAAAGUCCCCACAUUACCUUCAGCAGUGGUGAAUGAAAGGAGCGAUGACCACACCUACUGCAAAAGAUCAAAUUUGGGACUGCCUGGAGAACACCUUCUCCUGUAUACGCCAGAGGAACCCCGUGCCAACACCAGCAGAGUUCCACUCUGCACUACGAGCUGUCACUGUGGGACAGUUCCUCUCAACAGGGGACACUGGCAGUUACCUAGAUGGUGCAUCUGACCCUUUGGCGGACUUCCUGGACACAAAGAGCAGCAGCUAUAGUCCUCCACUUUGCAGGAUACAUUGUGAAGAGGGUCAUCAGCUGUUUGUGAGAAAAUCCAGUGUGCACUCCUGGAAGAAGAAAAUGCAAAUGAGAGAGAUGUUCUUCAAAGAUUAAAGGAAUUCAAAAGGGCUGCACUAUACCGCCCAUCCGAUGAGGUUUGUACUCUCAUUCAGAGUGUGGAGCAGCUGUUCCGUGUGAGGACAGGUGAUUCCAUCAUGGAGCCCACCG